CCCGUACCGAACGACAAGGGUUUUCCAGAGGUAGGCUCGUCCGCUCUGGGUAAGUCGGGGACCUAAGCCGAGGCGAUAAGCGUAGGCGAUGGACAACAGGUAGAAAUUCCUGUACCAGUAAGAUUGCAUUUGAGUGAUGGAGUGACGCAGAAGGAAAAGAUGAGCGCGCGGAAGGAAGAGCGCGUCCAAGCCAUAAGGCUGCAUGUUAGGCAAAUCCGGCAUGCAUUAAGACUGAGUGGUGAUGGGGAGCCGAAAAUAGUAGGCGAAGCAUAUGGACUCACACUGCCAAGAAAAGCUUCUAGCAAGUAAUCAUACUGCCCGUACCGUAAACCGACACAGGUAGUUGGGAAGAGAAUUCUAAGGUGAGCGAGCGAACUCUCGUUAAGGAACUCGGCAAAAUGACCCCGUAACUUCGGGAGAAGGGGUGCUUAUAGCAAUAUAAGCCGCAGUGAAUAGGCCCAAGCGACUGUUUACCAAAAACACAGGUCUCUGCCAAACCGAAAGGUGAAGUAUAGGGGCUGACGCCUGCCCGGUGGUCGACGCGGCCG
rnacentral:rRNA from 1 species